UACGUAGGGUGCAAGCGUUAAUCGGAAUUACUGGGCGUAAAGCGUGCGCAGGCGGUUUCGUAAGUCUGUCGUGAAAUCCCCGGGCUUAACCUGGGAAUGGCGAUGGAGACUGCGAGGCUAGAGUUUGGCAGAGGGGGGUAGAAUUCCACGUGUAGCAGUGAAAUGCGUAGAGAUGUGGAGGAACACCGAUGGCGAAGGCAGCCCCCGGGGUCAAAACUGACGCUCAUGCACGAAAGCGUGGGGAGAAAACAGG
rnacentral:rRNA from 1 species